GUGGUGAACUCAGAGCAGGAGCUAUAAAGAAUGGCUCCUCUGUUUACAGCACACCCAACAGGAAUUCGGGGUCACUGUGAUGAGGGGCCCAAAACUUCUCAUCUCCCUAUGAACAAAUUCCCUACAUGU